rnacentral:rRNA from 1 species
UACAGAGGGUGCGAGCGUUAAUCGGAAUUACUGGGCGUAAAGCGCGCGUAGGCGGCUUUGCAAGUCGGGUGUGAAAUCCCCAGGCUUAACCUGGGAACUGCAUUCGAGACUGCAUUGCUAGAGUAUAGGAGAGGGAAGUGGAAGUUUCCGGUGAUAGCGGUGAAAUGCGUAGAUAUCGGAAGGAACAUCAGUGGCGAAAGCGACUUCCUGGCCUGUUCUUGACGCGUGAGGCGGCGAAAGCUAGGGGAGCAAACAGG